GGCCCUACGAAAGCCUGGGAGGACGUUUGCUAGAACUUAAAAACCGCCAGGGUGCUGGCGGGGAGGGGAACAUUCCUGGAGAGAGUUUUAAAUUGGGGGUUUUCAGGCUAAUACCAUUACCGCCCUGUCUUACUCGCUCACGUCUCAAUGAAGUUUUAGGCUGGGUUUGGGCAGUAAUGACAAGUAGACAUCUCCCCGGCCAAAUUCAUAUUAUUUGGGGCCUUACGCUUCCUUCGCCCCGAACACAAACGUGGAGUUCUCUGCUUGGAGCACCUGUGCUGUCACUCACAGAAUAACUCAGGGCAUGCAAAGUUCUGAAGACUGGAAAUCCAAGAUCAAGAGCCAGCAGAUUUGGUGUUUGAGUCAAAGCCAAGAAGUCAAGAAAGGUGGCCAUCUCACGGAGAUUGUCUUAGAGGGCCAGCAGCCUUCACAGCACCAACUCCACUCCUCAGUACUGGUCAACAUUAAUGAGUGAUGCUCUUUCCAGGCACUGCUCCAACCGCGUACGUAAUCCUCACAGCAUCCCGUUGAGACAGGUACCAUUGUUGAUCCCAUGUCACAGAUGGACAAACUGAGGUCCAAGGUGGUUAAAUACUUGACCCAGGAUCACCCAGCUAGGAAAUGACAGUCUUGAUUUAAACACAAACAGUUCUAUGCUCUUAUCCAUCAGUCUAUAUGGCAUCUCAAUUGUUUUCAACUUUAUUGUAAAUAAAAUUUACCUUGAAGCACUGGG